ACACAAUCCACUUAAUUCCCGGUGGAUAAGAAUGCUUCAAAAUGUUUGUAGCAUCCAGACAAAGAAUACAUACUAAACAAUACUCCUGUAAGACAGCUAUGUUUUGGGGUGGUAUCGCACUGCACUGAUUUUUCUUCUAGUGCCUCCCUGGUCAAACACGGAAGAACUUUACAGCGUCAGUCACCGCCCAGACAGCAGAGGACUCGCCCACACGGAGUUACACAAGUAUCACAACCGAAACACUUUGAACAUCCACAACGUUCAUACAGCCGAACCUAAACAGAUUACUGGCUAAAGCAACAACAGAAAAAAGUAAUCGCACUGACACACCUCAAAUGCGAUAGUUAAGUUUCUCGGGCUUCACUACAAGAUGGCGGCGACAGUACAACAAUAAUUUACUUACCUCCAGUUUCCCCCACGUUUAACAAACCACACACAAUCCUUUAACACUCCACAUGGAGGGAUUAAAGAAAUAAAAGAAGCACCCACAACAAAGUCCGAUUAACUUCAUAUAUGUGAUGGUGCCAAGACAACAAUGACUGACAAAAGUAUGCCCCGAACUACGGCAAUAACGUAAAGCAAACAAGAAAUACUUCGUACAAUAUCCACUGCCAGACCUCCAAGUGGCUGAGCGUACUACGCAAGUAGCGUAAGUCAUGUCGUCUUUAAAUAAUUAUACUCCAACCAAAAAAAGCGUGAUGACUUCCUCGUCCACUCUUCACUCGGUUAUCCAAUAAUUAUGUAAACAGUGAAGCUCCAGUGAUGGGCUGACCAAGAACAAUAUGCUCUUCAACACAGACUCUUAUACUCCUUACCUCCGCAGGCCUCACAGGUACCCCGUAAGAAAUCCCCGUCCGAGUUCAGAAGAAUAUGUCGGUAGUUCAACCCUUUUUAAAUCCAAGCUUUUUUCGAGAAAGUGGAUCGUACCAAUGCAAGUUUUGCUUCCGAACAGUAAUUAUUCCUUUAGGGUUACGUUGUACUUUCUUCCUUUUUGUUGUAUAUUAAAGGGGUACGCGCGCGGAUCUUCCUCCAGAAUCCAGAACAAACAGCACUACACAGACAGUGACGCCAUACGUACAUGGACGUAGCCGGGCCUUUUAAUAAAUGUUCUGCUCUUGCAUCCCACCUACUUCAGUAGAACACCAAGUGAAUUGCGUUUGGCCACUCCAUACAAUUUGCAACAGACCAUGGACAGAAAGAAUCAUCAAAGAACCUGGGAAGGAAACUGGCAUGAAUUCAACAAAAAGGACAGGACCUUGUAUUGCCCACUAUUUUUUUUUCUCCUGUGGUUUCUGAUCUUUAAUCUAGUCUUAUUAAUCACUACCUUUGUUUUGAAGUACACUCAUUUUAUCUUGAUGGAUGUUAACCUCUUUCUCCUAUGAAUUAAGUAUUUCCUUACUGUCUGAGAUUAUCUCAUUGCUGAGAUGUAAGGUAGGCCCGACAAAAUUAUUUCCUCCACCAGGCCUGCUGACACUUUCUUGGGUGGAGGAACAUUGCUUAGAUCUCCAUGAAAUAUAUUAUGUCAUUUAAUAUUCA